rnacentral:rRNA from 1 species
UAUACAUGCAGUCGAGCGGACAGAUGGGAGCUUGCUCCCUGAUGUUAGCGGCGGACGGGUGAGUAACACGUGGGUAACCUGCCUGUAAGACUGGGAUAACUCCGGGAAACCGGGGCUAAUACCGGAUGGUUGUUUGAACCGCAUGGUUCAAACAUAAAAGGUGGCUUCGGCUACCACUUACAGAUGGACCCGCGGCGCAUUAGCUAGUUGGUGAGGUAACGGCUCACCAAGGCAACGAUGCGUAGCCGACCUGAGAGGGUGAUCGGCCACACUGGGACUGAGACACGGCCCAGACUCCUACGGGAGGCAGCAGUAGGGAAUCUUCCGCAAUGGACGAAAGUCUGACGGAGCAACGCCGCGUGAGUGAUGAAGGUUUUCGGAUCGUAAAGCUCUGUUGUUAGGGAAGAACAAGUACCGUUCGAAUAGGGCGGUACCUUGACGGUACCUAACCAGAAAGCCACGGCUAACUACGUGCCAGCAGCCGCGGUAAUACGUAGGUGGCAAGCGUUGUCCGGAAUUAUUGGGCGUAAAGGGCUCGCAGGCGGUUUCUUAAGUCUGAUGUGAAAGCCCCCGGCUCAACCGGGGAGGGUCAUUGGAAACUGGGGAACUUGAGUGCAGAAGAGGAGAGUGGAAUUCCACGUGUAGCGGUGAAAUGCGUAGAGAUGUGGAGGAACACCAGUG